GGUGGUAAAUUCCGCUCAGGAGUCCGUACUUGCCCCCUCUUCUGGAAACAGGAAAAACGGGAGAAAACCAACGGAGAUGGACUGGCUGGACUCCUGCGCCUUCAGAGGAAAUUGAAUGGGUGAAGCCUUUUCUGGCACGGAGACAAAUGCUGGGAAAAGCUUCAAGCCAGGACGAUCUUCGAAUAAAAUCUACCAAACAUUCGUCUCUCAGGCUGCUGUUAAAAGGACGCAUUUACACCCUAGCUGGAUUAGACGGACCCCACAGGUCCAUGUGGUUUAGUGUCAUCUUUCCUACAGGGGGUGACCAGCCAGAUGCCUCUGAGACGCCUACAAGGAAAGCAUGAAGAUAGUAAGUCGCCAGCCAGCCUUUACCCUCCGACGGCGCCCAGUCGCUUACUUAACUGCCUCGCUCAUCAUGGAAGUGUGCAGAAGUCCUUUCGUCGAUGAUUUGUUUUUGUCCAGCCCCGCUUUAAAGUAUCUCAGCUCGUGGGUGUAGCGAAUCAAUUCAAAACCUUAGCAAUGGGGCAGCCUUACAGAAAAAGAUGCAGCUCGUCUCGAUCACAGCAAUUCUUACCCAUGAGAGUUAAAUCAAUAAAAAGGACGUUUUACUCCCGA